AUGAAGAAGACUGUCUUCACUGCAACUUCUUGCAUUCCAAUUUUGAUCCUCCCAUUCCUGAGUUCACUCUGCCAAUCCGAUGACCAGCUCACACAUGCAAAGCCGCUCUCUGCCGGCGACACGCUCAUCUCCAAGGGCAGGGACUUUGCGCUGGGCUUCUUCUCCCCAAACAGCUCCAGCACAAGCUUGUACCUUGGCAUAUGGUACCACAACAUCCCUGGCCACACCGUCGUAUGGACCGCCAACCGCGACAAUCCGAUCGCCGCCACUUCAUCUCCGAUGCUUGCCAUCACCAACAGUUCUGACCUGGUGUUGUCUGACUCCCAAGGUGGCUCUCCCUGGGCGGUGAAGAACAACAUCUCGAGCAUGGGAGUUGUCGCAGUGCUGCUUGACACGGGGAACUUUGUCCUCCAGUCUCCAAAUGGCACAUCCAUAUGGCAGAGUUUUGAUCACCCGACGGACACCAUUCUCCCCGGUACUAGGAUCUACCUGAGCCAGAAGGCUCGUGUUGUCCGGCGUCUAAUUGCUUGGAAGGGCCCCACUGACCCAUCCACUGGAGAUUUUUCUUUGGGCCUUGACCCAAACUCGAACCUUCAGUUAGUCAUCUGGCACCGGACUAUGCCCUACCUCCGCCUCAAUAUUCUCGAUGAUGCCUCAGUAGGUGGCGGCAUAUACAAGAACACUAUCUUCUAUGAAGCGAUUGCUGGAACAAGCAGGGACGGGUUCUAUUAUGAAUUCUCUGUUUCUGAUGGCUCACCGUAUGCACGCCUUAUGCUCGACCACAUGGGUGCGUUGAGGACUCUUAGCUGGAACAACCACUCAUCUUGGACAACCGUCUUCGAGCACCCUGCUAGCAGCUGCGACCUCUAUGGUUCAUGUGGCCCAUUCAGCUAUUGCGACAACACUGGGGCUGCCGCGACAUGCCGUUGUCUCGAUGGGUUUGAAUCCGCUGGUCUUAACAUUUCGAGAGGAUGUAGAAGAACCAAGCAACUGGAAUGCGGCAAGCAAAGUCAUUUCGUGACCUUGCCUAAGAUGAAGUUACCUGACAAGUUUUUACAUGUCCUCAACAGAAGCUUUCACGAAUGCACGACUGAGUGCAGCAACAAUUGCUCAUGUACAGCCUACGCCUACACAAACUUGAGCAGUAACGGCGCUAUGGCCGACCAGUCAAGGUGUUUGCUUUGGACAGGGGAGCUUGUCGACACAGGGAAGUAUAGCAACUAUAACGACAACCUGCACCUUCGGCUUGCCAACUCUCCUGUUCGAAAGAAUAUCAAAUUGGUAAAAAUUGUAGUCCCAACCAUGGCUUGCGUGUUGAUACUCGCAUGCCUCCUUGUCGGGAUAUUCAAAUAUAGAGCAAGCAAACGAAAGAAGAGGAAUAUCAACAACGGAUCAAUGCUAGGAUACCUUAGCUUCUCUAAUGAAAUUGGAGGUGAACAUCUGGACUUUUCUUUUGUUAGCUUCGAAGAUAUUGCCACUGCAACCGAUAAUUUCUCUGAAUCUAAACAAAUUGGAAGUGGAGGUUUCGGCAAAGUUUACAAGGGAAUCCUUCAAGGGGACAAUGAAGUUGCUAUCAAAAGACUUAGUAAGGGUUCUGCUCAAGGGAUAGAGGAGUUCAGAAAUGAGAUAAUUCUAAUUGCAAAAUUGCAGCACAAAAACCUUGUUAGACUUCUUGGUUGCUGUAUUUUUGGAGAUGAGAGGUUACUUAUCUAUGAAUACUUACCAAACAAAAGCUUGGACGCCUUCCUUUUUGAUGAUAGAAGACAAUAUGUGCUUGAUUGGCCUACACGCUUCCAAAUAAUUAAAGGAGUGGCCAGAGGUCUUCUUUACCUCCACCAAGAUUCAAGAUUAACUGUAAUUCACAGAGAUCUCAAACCAAGCAACAUCUUGUUGGAUUCUGAAAUGACUCCCAAAAUAUCAGAUUUCGGUAUGGCAAGGAUCUUUGGUGGAAACAAACAAGAAGCAAAAACUACCCGGGUUGUUGGGACAUAUGGUUACAUGUCACCUGAAUAUGUUAUGGGAGGCGCCUUUUCUGUAAAAUCCGACACGUAUAGCUUUGGUGUUCUUCUCUUGGAGAUUGUAAGUGGCUUGAAGAUCACCUCACCGCAACUGGUAGAGAACUUUGUCAGCCUAACAACUUAUGCAUGGAGACUAUGGGCAGACGGAAAAGCAACAGAACUGGUGCACUCUUCAUUUGCUGAGAAUUGUUCACUAAAUGAAGUUCUACGGUGUAUUCAAGUCGGUCUCUUGUGUGUUCAAGACCGUCCGGAUGAUAGGCCACUCAUGUCAUCGGUAACUUUUAUGCUGGAGAAUGAAAGUGUGUCGCUUCCAGCACCAAAGCAGCCAGCAUAUCUUGGACUACAGAAUUUCGAAAGUGAAGAAUCAAGGGAAAACUCUGUGAAUACAGUGAGUAUCACAGCAGUCGAGGGGCGUUAA
rnacentral:rRNA from 1 species